AUACGUAGGGAGCGAGCGUUGUCCGGAAUUACUGGGUGUAAAGGGAGCGUAGGCGGGAGUGCAAGUCAGAUGUGAAAUGCAUGGGCUUAACCCAUGAGCUGCAUUUGAAACUGCAUUUCUUGAGUGAAGUAGAGGUAAGCGGAAUUCCUGGUGUAGCGGUGAAAUGCGUAGAUAUCAGGAGGAACACCGGUGGCGAAGGCGGCUUACUGGGCUUUUACUGACGCUGAGGCUCGAAAGCGUGGGGAGAAAACAGGAUUAGAUACCCUGGUAGUCCACGCUGUAAACGAUGAUUACUAGGUGUGGGGGGACUGACCCCUUCCGUGCCGCAGUUAACACAAUAAGUAAUCCACCUGGGGAGUACGGCCGCAAGGUUGAAACUCAAAGGAAUUGACGGGG
rnacentral:rRNA from 1 species